UACGUAGGGUGCGAGCGUUAAUCGGAAUUACUGGGCGUAAAGCGUGCGCAGGCGGUGAUGUAAGACAGGUGUGAAAUCCCCGGGCUUAACCUGGGAACUGCAUUUGUGACUGCAUCGCUGGAGUGCGGCAGAGGGGGACGGAAUUCCGCGUGUAGCAGUGAAAUGCGUAGAUAUGCGGAGGAACACCGAUGGCGAAGGCAAUCCCCUGGGCCUGCACUGACGCUCAUGCACGAAAGCGUGGGGAGCGAACGGG
rnacentral:rRNA from 1 species